AUUUUUCUAGACAUUUUUUCAACUUAGGUUAAAAUAAAUUUUAUAAGUAAAUAGCCAACAAUGUAAACCAAGACAGCCACAAGAUAUUUCGUGAAGCAUUCAUUAGGAUAGUGAAAUAAGAGGAGGGAAGAUUUAAUUAAAAUCCAACAAAAAGAGCUUAAAUAAGUAUGAAUAUUGGUAAUAUGUUUUCAAGUUAUGAAGUCAUUGUAAAAGAGUAUUAUAUGACCCCAUUUAUUUAUGUAUAUACACAAAUAUGCACUCACACCAGAGAUAACUGAAAUUCUUUUUGUUCCUCACAGUAAAUGAAUGUGUGAAAUCUCCCCCCCCACAACCAAAUGCACAUAGUUAAUUACCAUAGAUCAGGCUUUAUAGUGUCAGUACCCUCUAUCUGCAUCCUCUAUCAUGUUUUGUAUCAAAUCAGCUAGAUGUAAAAUCCAUUCCUUUUACUACAUUCUAAAACAAAUUGAAUAACACUGAUUUCAUGAUCUACUGCAAUCUUCGUUGGAAAUUUUAGUAGUCAUGGGAAAGAAUUCCACUGCAAAGCACAAAAUCUUUUUUGUUCACUGCCUUUUCUUUGACUUCUAGUUCUUCAUCCACCUCUUGUUCUAGGAUGCAUGACCAUCACACAUUCAAAUUCUUCUCCCUGUUAAAAAGCAUCUCUCUCCAUCCAAGGCCUGUAUCCGUGCCCCAGAUCAGAAGGAACAUCACAGGAACUCUCCCAGAAGAAUGAUACGUACCAGUUAAAUACUUUUCAAUUUGUGGUUUGUGAAAAAAAUCAGCAUAAAACUAGAGGUUUCCUCUAGGACAGCCCUUCUCUGAUCCUCUCAGUUGCAAGGAUUCUAGAAACCAGUAAAGGCUGGUUGGUUGGUUGGUUGGUUUUGAAGUUGUCUUUUGUUUUAUGAUCAAAAGAUUUUUUUCCAGUUAUUACCUGUUGUAGGAGUUGUUAGACAACCUUCAGACAAUAAUUCCAUAUUUUUCAGGCUUCAUGAUUGUCUAAACAAUCUAGGACCCCUAAACUGGAAUAGCUCACCUGGUCAAAG
rnacentral:lncRNA from 1 species